rnacentral:rRNA from 1 species
GACGAACGCUGGCGGCAGGCCUAACACAUGCAAGUCGAGCGAGCGGCGGACGGGUGAGUAAUGUAUGGGGACUGCCCGAUAGAGGGGGAUAACUACUGGAAACGGUGGCUAAUACCGCAUACUAUCGGAUAACCCAUAUGGGAUUAGCUAGUAGGUGGGGUAAAGGCUCACCUAGGCGACGAUCUCUAGCUGGUCUGAGAGGAUGAUCAGCCACACUGGGACGGAGACACGGCCCAGACUCCAACGGAGGCAGCAGUAGGGAAUAUUGCACAGUGGGCGCAAGCCUGAUGCAGCAAUGCCGCGUAUAUGAAGAAGGACUUAGGGUUUUAAAGUACAUUCAGCGGGGAGGCGUUACCCGCAGAAGAAGCGCCGGCUAACUACGGGCCAGCAGCCGCGGUAAUAC